AGUUUGAUCAUGGCUCAGGAUGAACGCUGGCGGCGUGCCUAACACAUGCAAGUCGAGCGAUCUUCUUCGGAAGAGAGCGGCGGACGGGUGAGUAACGCGUGGGUAACCUGCCCUGUACACACGGAUAACAUACCGAAAGGUAUGCUAAUACGAGAUAAUAUGCUUUUAUCGCAUGGUAGAAGUAUCAAAGCUUUUGCGGUACAGGAUGGACCCGCGUCUGAUUAGCUGGUUGGUAAGGUAAACGGCUUACCAAGGCGACGAUCAGUAGCCGACCUGAGAGGGUGAUCGGCCACAUUGGAACUGAGACACGGUCCAAACUCCUACGGGAGGCAGCAGUGGGGAAUAUUGCACAAUGGGCGAAAGCCUGAUGCAGCAACGCCGCGUGAGCGAUGAAGGCCUUCGGGUCGUAAAGCUCUGUCCUCAAGGAAGAUAAUGACGGUACUUGAGGAGGAAGCCCCAGCUAACUACGUG
rnacentral:rRNA from 1 species